CUCUUAUAUGUGUGCUGGUGUUACUUCAUCUUGUGAAAUUCAAAUAGUCCUUGAGGACAGGCUUCAUCUUCCUCCAUAAAUGUGCAGGUCCCGGCUGGUACACCAGAUACAUCCUAGUAUACUGACAGUUCUACUCCCUGCCUGAACUCGUGCAGACCUUGCUGGCUGUGGAUUGGAGAAAUGCAGAACCAUGGUUUAAUACCUUAAUCAUACGUUGCUUGGAUAGUGUGCAGUGAAUGGAGUGGUGUUAAAGCCAGUAAAGAUACAUUUCAUGCAGAACAAAUCAUAUGUCUUGGCUCGUUAUGCAAUGCAUUGUCCUAUAGAAUUUCCUCUAAAUACACAAUGGGUUCCUAGAUAAAGCAUAAGUUUUUCUCCUCUGUAUUGUUCACUCUUUUUUCUUGAAAAAGUUAAUUAAGCAGAGCAGGCCAACAAAAUUUCUUCUAAGGAGAUAAAACUCAAAAAAAAAAAAAAAAUGAGCAAAGGGCAAAGUUCUUCAGCUUGCAUACAUCUAAAAUUAAUUAGAAAAUCCUGUAUCUAAAUCUACAAGUACAUUUGUUUCUAUCCUAGUGCUUUUGAGGUCUGAAAUGUGGGGAUACAUUUUAUAUGCAAGUACAAAAUAUGUGGCUCAAAAUUUUCUUUUUUUAACUGUAAUGGGAGUUUUUUAUAAUCUUGCACAUUAUUUCAAAUGUGUGAAUUCCAUUCAAUACAAAAAAAAAAUCCUCUCUAUUGAAACUGUUCUAAUCUAAAGCAUAAAACAACCCUUAUACAUAUGAAAUACUUGUUAUUAAACUGCUAAAAUAUAGCUGUUUUGUGUAGAGCAUACACAGAAACAGAAUUCAUUGGUGGUAGCAAAACUAGAGGGCAUUUCUAUUUUAGCUGAUCAGCAUCUAUCUCCUUGUGACGUAGACAAAACUAAAUUAAAAUUAGCAACA